CUGUGAUGCCACCUAAGAAAAUAGGGGAAGGAGAGUUCAACACGUGUCAUGGUAAACGAAUUUUGUUUCCGGUAGUUUUCCACUGGGCUUUAUCAUUCGUGUAUGUGUUAUUUUUUGUGGGCCUGUACAGAAAUUUAAUUUGUCUAUUGUUGAAGACAAUCUUUGACAUCGAAACUUCUAUAGCCCUAAAGUUUUUCUUCUGUUCAUCUUGCCGGCGGAAAAAUCUUGAAACGUUACAGAGUUUGAAUCAUUCAAGUUGAAUGAAUUGAAGCGUCGUCUUUAAUGGAGUAAUAAUUGUUCUCUACACCUCACACCUCACCCAAUCUGUCAUCGAAUGCAUCCUCUUUUACUUUCUUUUUCAGAACCUUCACCUAUAAAAACGUGUCAAGAAGCCCAUCAAGUGAGCAGGACGUAGCAAAGCGUCUGUAAAGGAACCAAACUAAACAAAAAGGUCAAACAAGUGUCUUCUUCGUUUUCAUAUAAUCAUUGCCUACUGGCUACUGCUUCUUCAAUUUAAUUUGUUCAGUAGUUUACAAGGAUUAAACUUUUUGGCUGUCCAAAACUUUUUCAUCUGUGAAAUUUACUGAAGGUUAGAAGAGUAGAUUUUUUGUCAGUUAUUGUUUUCAUCAUUAUAGUUUCUACCUUUGUGCUAAUGCUGGACUUUUUUAUGAUUCAAAGGUAAUAUUUCUGUAGGACUUUCAAGAUGGAGCAUCCUAAGGAACAAAUAUAUUGCUGCUUUGCUGUGAGUGGCUCCUUCUCACCUUGAAGGUUCUUUUGUAACUUAGCCUCUUGAUCUUGAUUGGCACUUUGGCGUUGAAUUUGAAUGCAAAAACAGAAGAAGGCAUCUUAUGUUGCUAAUGCUGAAAAGUGCAAGGUUGACUACCACAAAUACCUGGAGGAAGGCCGAAAGGAAGAUGAGGCCAUUCAAUUAUAUUCUCAGAGGUUAAUGAUGAAGACGAUGCUUAGGAUGGUAGUUAAGAGAAAAUCUGGCAUGGCAGCUCCCGAGUAGUCCUCACAAAGUCCACGACUGCUCUUCUUCCAAAGGCUAAUGAAGUGUCGCGGUUGAAACUUCUUCGAACCAUGACGAGUCAGAGAAUUUGAUCAUAAGCAAAAAUGUAACAUCUGUUUGUUGGAGGAGGAUAUGGCGAAGCGUCACUUGACAAACUGCUUAACGAAGUGGUUGGAGAAGAGGUAUCAGACAUAUAGUUUCACUUGACAAACUGCUUCAAAAAGGGGGAAACGGAUCGAUCAAAACUUAGUUGACCAAAGGUGUGAAAAAAGACUCGGAGGAUGUCAACAAGAUCUUUGAGUUGAUGUGUCAGGUUUUUUUUGCUUCCCAAUAGAUGCAAAAAACCAGAAAGGUUACAUUCUGAGGACAGUGAAGUGGAGAAUAACGACAUAUGUAUCGAAAUCCUUGCCAGGUAUACAUGUUAAAUGAAAUCUCAAAAGAAUCAAGGAUUUCAGACUAUUAGAGACAAGUUCUUGGGGCUUAGUACUGACAGCAAGAUCUGCUUCCUGAGCUUUGUUGUGCUCCCGGAGAAUCAAGAAGUCAACAAGAUGAUGCUCUUUAUUGGUGUAUUGUGGAAGCCAUCCUUCCUGGUAAAGUCAAACCCCAAGAUGCUGUGAAAGACAUUCUCAAAGAGUUCAUGGAAAAUAUUUGAUUGAGCCUGUUGAAAAUUAAUGCAAAGUUUGAGCCAAAUAGCUUUAUGACACUUUUGUGCAUUCCUCAAUGGUUCUUAUCACAGAGUAGAUAACUAUUUAGUGUGUAUCAGAAAGAAAAGAAGCAAAGGAUGUAACAUUUAGACUUCAAAAAUAUAGAAUACAUAGUACCUACAAAA